rnacentral:misc_RNA from 1 species
GUGUUGGACAAGGUUACGCAGGUUGAACCGCUGGCCGUGGCGUUCAACACGCUGAGUGAAGUGCCAUUGCGCUUGCCGUUUGUGAUCCCGAUGACGCUGCCGGGAUCGCCAA